GCGAGCGGUCCUCGCGUUUGUCGGUCGCUUGACCUGGCGGGAUCUAUUCUACUCCCUCCCUCUCGGCUGGAUUUUGCCCAUGCUCGCGGCGUGGGUUGUUCGAUCCUGGCCGGCGAUCGGAAUCAAAGAUCAAAUCAUACAUGUCGACAGCCGCUUGCAUGCUUGCUACAACCAGCUUCCGUACUCCCUCCUGAAUAUAUUGCUCAAACGGCUUCCGUACUUGUAGCAGCAACCAAGUUGUUCUGAACUGAGAAAAGCAAACCAAUAGACGGAAGAAGUUGAAACCUGAUAGGACGAGGAGGCCGUUCCGAAGACGAAGCCAUUGGGGAAGCUCCCCCGGCUUAUCAGCUGCCGUCCGGCGCCAUCGUAGGCGCCGGAAGCGACAGCCAGAAGGACAAAUGAGAGGAGAAGGCGACCAGGCAUCGCCACCAACGCUCUUGCAGCCGUAUAUGGGGUAGUUGCAGAGGAGGAUACCUGUAUAUAUUGCAGUGGUUAUGACUGUGCGUCAAAGGGUUACUGUCAAAGUGGACUAGGUAUCUAGGCCGGCUGGCCGCUAGAACAAGUUGUUAAGUCUUAAUCUA